GGGCCACGCCAUGGGAAAGUGGGGGUGGAUGCCGGGAACAGCUGCGAUCGUAACUGGAGACAUGGAUGGAUAAAUGGAGGUGAAGAAAGGAGAAUGAGUGUGAUUGAUUCGUUAAUACAGUUUACAUCAUAUGGGACAGCACUACUGAUUGGGAAGGCCUUGGGUAGAUUAGAUUGACCUGAGGGGGACACUGUACACCUGUACACGCAUGCGUAAUGCGUAAUAUGGUAUAUCUCAAUGAAUUAGUGUACUAUUUCUAGUGAUUUUCCUUGGCAAUGGCAACUGAUCGUGUCUUUAGCAAUUUAGAGGAAUUUGAUGAAUUUUGUUUCUGUACCAAUUGCUUAUACCAAUGUUGUUUUUGGCAGCCCUUCUCAUUUUCGUCUUUCGAAUGAAAUACUUACCGUAUUUUUCAGACUAUAAGUCGCAGUUUUUUUUCAUAGUUUGGCUCGGGGUGCAACUUAUACUCAGAAGCGACUUAUUAGUGUAAUUAUUAACACAUUAUUAUAUCAUUUCACGUGUUAUUUAGGUGUUUUGGAGUGACAUUUAUGGUUUGGUAAACUUGUUAGAAUGUUCUUUAUGCUAUAGGUAUUUGAAUAACUGUUAAUAGCUAUGGCCACGUUCGUGUUCUGCCUUUGGCAAUGUAUGUUCAAUUGCAUUAUUUACUUUUUUAUAUAGAAAUGCAUGCUUUUAGUUUCUGGCGCUUACAAGCCCAAGUGGGGGCGCACUCGCACUUGUUUACGCGAAGAAGAGCGCUCACACGCCAGAAGAAGUCGGACAGCUACGCAGCGUCUGAGCGAGUGGGCAAGAGAGCGAGAGAAACACGGCUGCGAACCUACAGUACGUUCAUUGUUUAUGCUUGUAAAAUAUCUCUACAGAGGCAGCGCCUGUGUAUCAUCUUUUCUGUUGUUGUGUGUUUUCCACCCGUGAUCGGACACUUAGAGCCAGUUGUGUGGUUGUUUGAACAAUGUGCUAAUGCUUGCGAACGCAUGCUAACGUUUGUGUCAUUGCUGUAAUAGCAGGUAAUUAUCAUUUAUUUACGUUCAUGCGAACCUGUUUGGUAUCGAGGACGAAAUGGAUUUGUAUUAUUUCUAUUUUUAAGUUUCACGCUUCAAAUGAUGGCGUCAUAACGACGGCCAAAAUAAAGUCAGCAAAUUAUACGGACGUCUAGCAUCGUCAUUUGGGAGUUUAGCUCGCUGUAUAGCCAGGACCAAGCCGUAGCGUCCUGGUGAGAACAGUACAUUCCCAUUUCGUUGUUCAUGUAUCAUGUAACAUUAUAAUACUUUACACUUGUUCAACAUGUUGUUCUCUAUUGUAUUUUUAUUCUAAAUUGCCUUUCAAGAUGACAUCUGUUCUAUGUGUUGUAUUUUAUCAAGUAAAUUUCCCCAAAAAAUGCAACUUAUACUCCGGUGCGACUUUUAUGUUUUUUUUUCUCUUUGUUGGGCAUUUUAUUGCUGGUCCGACUUAUACUCAGGUGCGACUUAUAGUCUGAAAAAUACGGUAUUGGUCUUAGCUAUAUUUUUGUCAUUUCAAAAUGUGUUAGUCUUCGUAUAGUUUCGUCAACAAAUACUUAUAAUGUCUUUGUCUGUAAAAAUUUAAAGAUUUUCGUCCCCCCCAAAAAAAAGGUUUGCAAAAAUUUUGAAUGAACAUUGACAGACGAGCACAUAUUGUAGCAUCUACAAUCAGGGAGUGCCAAAACGAUUAUUAGAUGCACCGUGAUUCGACUACGAUUCAUAAAUGUUCAAAAACGAUGAUUUUCCCUUAUAACUUUAUGACAGCCACUUGUAGCGGAAUGAAAUUCAAGACACAUCUGCCGCCCGGACACCUUUAACGGACGCACGCAUGACGUUAUGAUGGAUGCUGCCGGUUACUGAGCGAGAGAUUUACUCCUUUUCAAAACGCUGGAAAAAAAUUUGUGUAUGAGACAGGCAGGGACCUGGCGGUCGUGCUUCUGUGUGCAAGUUAUUUUUUUAGAGCGAGAGGGGAAGAGAGAUAGUUCGUUGCGCCUUUUCUUUCAGAUGUCCAGCAGUAAUUGGAAGAAGUCCCUAGUGCUUUGCUAAGUCCCGCGUCCGUCUAUCAGAGACACCGCGGAACCGCUUUUGUUUCAACCCAGCCAUAAAAAGCUGUGUCUUGACACUCGGUGCUACAUGCUACAUGGAGUUUUGGAUCGAAAUAAG